rnacentral:lncRNA from 10 species
AGGUGAGAAGUGGGAGAAAGAACGAAAAUCUGGAGGUUGGAGGAUAAACAAACCCACAUCCUUGUGGAUGAAGAAGGAUACCAAAAACUCAUUUUCCUGGAAGGAGCAAUUUUUGAAAUCAGCUACACUGAGGGCACUUUCGUGGCUGCCAGACUAAAGAUUAAUGGAGCACAACUCCAAAGGGUGCCAACAGGAAGCAACUAUACCCCCAAACAUGUCAUCACCCCCUGCCUAUUUCAACCUGUCCUGGAGCUAGUUUAAUGUGCCAGCUCCCAUGGUUUUUCCAGUCAUUCUGCGGUAGAAGGAGACCGCAGUAGGCUGCAGAUUGAGUGAAGGUCUUUUCCAUGUGAAUUUGUCCUGCAUCUGGGAUAAAGGUAUAAUGAUUACCUAAAGCAUGUUCUGUUCAUGGAAGAUCACUGGAACACAAAAGACCAAGCUCACAGCAUAUUCAAGACAUCUGCUCGUAUUCCACUGGCCAAAGAAAGUGAUGUGGCCCAGCCUAAAGUCAGGUUUUGUACUCCAGGCACUGUGCUAGGCACCAGGACUAUAAUACAACUUGUGAUCUGUAGAGGAGUCAGACAAUUAUCCAGGCAUCCCAAAGAAAUGUCAAUUGCAAGCCUGGAUCCCUUUUUCCCUGGAGGCUGUUCUGAAGAUGGCACCCUACCUGCUCACCUUUUAGUGUACCUGGGCACCCAUGCCUCCAUAUGGUGACCCUCAAAUCAUACUGUAUGAAGAGCAGCUGUUUUGUCAACUAUUUUUUAAUGAGAUUUUUUUUGCUUUGGUUUAAAAAAUAGCAUAUAUUUGCGUUAGAAAAUUAGAAAUACAGAAGAAACAGAAAUAUAAAAGAAUUACCUAUAACAUGCAAAAAUGACUAGUACAAAUGUUUUUGUUUUUUUACAGUAUGUGAACAUAUUGUAUGUUUAUAUUAAUAUCCAUAGUAUUUAUUUUUGCCUACAUGUUUUACUUAACAUAUGUAGUAAGCAUUUCCCAUGUUAGUCAAAUUAUUUGUGGACAUUAUUUUUAAUGACUAUUAAUGUUAUUACUCUACAGCUUGCCGAAUAAGUCUCCUAUUAUAUGUCAUUUUGGGUCCUAGCAACAUUUUUGUGUUUAAAUCCUUGUAGCAGUUUUGACUGAUUUCCUUAAGAUAGAGUCCAAGAAGAGAAAUAAUUUGCUUGUUUGUUUAUCAUUUGGUACUUUCUUUUAUGGUAAUGUCCUUGGGGCUGAUAAUUCAGAACCAUGAAUAGAUAUGAUUCUUGUCUUUGAGGAGAUUGUAGCCUUGUGCUAGGUUAAAGAAUAGGCACGUUUUAAAGUUCUCGAUACACAUUUUCAAAGUGCUUUUCAAAAAUUUGUAUCAAUUCAUCCUUCUACUAUAAGGGAAAAUCUGUUCUGGGUUGUUUUUCUGGUAUAUCUUCCUAUUAAGAACCUGUUCUCCCUCCUGCUUUGUGACUCACAUGGAGUUGCCACUGCAUGCUAUCAUCUCCAUCCCUUAGAGCAACCUAUUAGAGAACUUACUCUCUGGAGUCCCAAAAGAGAAACAACAGCAACAACUCAGCAAUUCAUCUGGGGUCAGCGUGUUACCCAGUCUGGGCCAUUGGAGAUUUUUUUAAAGGGAAGUUUCUCCUAUUUUCUUCAAAAUUCUGAGCUGUGAAGAGGACCACUAGAAAGUUCAAUCUAUUUAUGAUUUUUUAAAAAACUGUUAUUAUAUAUAUUUAAGUGUAUGUCAUGUUUCCACACAUAUAUACAUAGUGAAAUGAUCACUGUAAUCAAGCUAAUUAGAAUAUCCCCCAUCUCGCAUAGUCACCUUUGUGUGUGAAAAGGGUUCAGUGCUUCCCUCUCCACUCUUCAUCUCCCCUUUAAAAAAGCAGAGAUGAAUGGAGAGGGAAAGGUUGAACAAUGGUUAUGUGGUGGGACUGCUGGGAUUCACCUGAGAGUUAAAACCAGCUAGUUCUACCCGUAUGUUUUUCACUUAGAUAAGCCAACAAAUUAAUUUCUUUUCCUCUAUUCUUCUUGUCUUCUUUCCUGCCUCUUUACCUGUCUCCCUUCCUUCCUCUCUUCCCACUCUCUUUCUUUCCUUAUUUAAAUUGGUUUGAAUUGAGUUUCUGACACUAAUGGAGAGUCCUUAUUGUGCCUUCACGUUAUUUUUAUCAAACCAGAAAAUGUUAAUGACAUAAAACAAUUACUGUUUGGACAAGGAAAAUUGUAUUUCUUUCCUUGAAAUUUCUACACACAUACACAUUUGUGCUUGUUAGUGAGGCUAAGCAUUUUCCCCCUUAUUUGUGAAUUAUAUAUUCAAUGUUUUGAUCCAUUUAUCAAAUAAAUUCCUUAGUUUAAAAAAUAUUUGCAGGUGCGGUUAUUAUGGAAAGCAGCAUGAAGUUUCCUCUAAAUAUUAAAAAUAGAAUCACCACAUGACUCAGCAAUCCCUCCUCUCUAUAUAUUUUUAAAGGAAAUGAAAUCAGCACUUCAUGGAACUAUCUCCACUCCCGGCUGGGCGCAGUGGCUCACGCCUGUAAUCCCAGCACUUUGGAAGGCCAAGGCAGGUGGAUCACGAGGUCAAGAGAUGGAGACCAUCCUGGCCGACAUGGUGAAACCCUGCCUCUACUAAAAAUACAAAAAUUAGCUGGGCGGGGAGGCACAUGCCUGUAAUCCCAGCCACUCGGGAGGCUGAGACAGGAGAAUCGCUUCAACCUGGGAGGCGGAGGUUGCAGUGGCUGAGAUCGCACCACUGCAGUCCAACCUGGUGACAGAGGGAGACUCCAUCAAAAAAAAAAAAAAGAAAAAAAGAAAUAUCUCCACUCUUAUAGUCAUUGAAGCAUAAUUAACAAUAACCAAGCUAUGAAAUCAAUGUAAGUGCCCAUCAAUGGAUGAGUGGAUAAAGAAAAUGUUACACACACACACACACACACACACACACACACACAGUGGAAUUUCAUGUAGCCUUAAAAAAGAAGACGAUUUUGUUAUUUAUAACAUGCCUGAAUGUGGAGGACAUUAGGUUAAGUGAAAUAAGCCAGAAAGAAAAAUACUGCAUGAUCUUACUUAUAUGUGGAAUCUAAAAACGUCAAGUACAAAAAAGCAAAAAGUAGAAUAGUGGUUGCUGGGAUCUGGGGCUGAGAUUAUGAUGGGCAAAUGGGAAGAAAUUGAGUGCAGAGUUUUGAUUAGGAUCAAUAAGUCUAGAGAGCAAAUGUACAGCAUGAAGACUAUAGUUACUACUGGGUUGUAUACUGGAAAUUUGCUAAGAAAGUAGGUUGUAGGUCCUCUUACCAUACACACAUAUACAGGUAACUAUGCGAGAUGAUGGAUAUUCUAAUUAGAUUGACUGUAGUAAUCAUUUCACUAUGUAUGUGUAUGAAAACAUGACAUACACCUUAAAUAUAUAUAAUAACAUUAAAAAAACCCAAAAUCUUGAAAAGAUUAUUAAGCUUUCCAAUGCCCAAGAAAAGGAAGAAAAGAAAAAGAAACUGCCACAGCUUAUUUUAAAAAUAAAAGUGGGCUCUCUUUUUAAAAUAUUAAUUUUAUAGUACCUUAUCUGGUAACCAAAAUAUUUUUAAAUAUUCUGAUGCUAUUAUAGUAUAAUCAUUCUUUAAUAAUUUUGUAGAUUUCACUUUACUGAACAAAGCCCUAAACAAAAACAUUGAAUAUGACAAAAACUUGCAUAAGUUUAUUUCAUACUGAAGACAUAUAUGCUAUAGAUUUGUAGAAAUACUUCCCACUUGGUUACUUGCUUAUGUUAUGAGUUUUUACCUACAGAAACUUGCUUUUUUUCUUGUAAAAUUUAGAUUAAUUUCUUUGGUAUGUUUUCCUACUGCUUUAAAACUUCAGAAUUCCUUUUUUCAUAGAACUUUUCUAUUUUCACUUAGAAACAUUCAGAACUUAUGUUAGUGUGUGAUUUGAGGUGGUUUUUGUGUUGACUUUGUUUCCUACCUUGUUAGCUAUUUUUUCUAUGCCAUUGUGGAAUAAUUUGUUAAUUUUCAGUGGAUUCAUAAUGCCUUUAAAAAAUAAGGUUGUGUUCUCAGAGGUGAUAAAUUUUAUUUAUUUAUGAUGCUCCAUCUAUGUUAAGGCUAUUUGUAAGUCUAUGUGUAUGGUAGGAUUUUAGUUCUACACUGCAUCUUACACAGGUUAGUAAAAUAUAGCACAUUUAUUAAUUAUUUAGAGUAUAGGAUUACGUAUUGAUAAGUACAAGCUAUUGAGCCUUCCCAUGUCCUAGGCACUUUGCUGAAUUUUAAUCCUUAUCACAACUCAAUGGGAUAGAUACUGUUGUCAUCUUUUGUAGACAUGGGUUUAUUAUAGCUAUUUUAAAAUGAGUUAGCAAAUUCAAAUUUCAAAAAUUCUAUUUUUAUUUCUAAUAUGGUAAAUAUUGAUAAAUAAAAUUUAUAUAAACAAAUAUUUUGAUGUACUCAGUAACCCAUAAGGGUAUAUAAGAGCCCUGAAAUGAAAAAGUUUGAGAACUGCUUAUAAGCCCUAUAUAAUUAUUAGGUAUUAAUAUCAUUAUUAAUUUUUGAAUCUAUAUUCAAAUAUAGUUAUCAUAAAAUGAACUUCAUAUAUGUAAGUGUAUACUUUGAUGUGUUUUGACAUAUGUAUAUUAUAAUGAAGCCAUCAUCAUAAUUAAGAUAAUAAACAUAUCCAUCACUCUCAGAG